CGGAAACUUGUACUCUAAACAAAAGAAACGAACUGGCUAGUGCAUGCCGUCAUGCAAACAAAUUUUUAAUUAAAAACGGUUAGGCUUUAUGACUAUGAACGAUCGGUAUAUAAAUGGGAUAUUAGAGAGGUUAAGAUACCCCGGUUCCGGUUUACGGGUACGAGUAUCGCCAUUUUGUUUACCAAUUUUUGCUGAUGUCAGCAAUUUUACCCGUAAUUUCUACCCGUUUCCCCGCGGUAAACCGUGGUCUACACGUAAACGACAAACGGGUACGGGUGUUUACUGUUUACUAUUUUUGGGCCGUUUAAAUAGUACAAAUUUUUAACAUCUUACCCAAAUAAAUAAUGCACAUAUGCUGGUCAAAAUAUUCAACAAUUUAUGGCGAACCUCAACAGCGAAAGUUGGCAUUUUCUGAU